AGAGUUUGAUCCUGGCUCAGGACGAACGCUGGCGGCGCGCCUAACACAUGCAAGUCGAACGAGCGAGAGAGAAGCUUGCUUUCUCGAGCGAGUGGCGAACGGGUGAGUAACGCGUGAGGAACUUGCCUCAAAGAGGGGGACAACAGUUGGAAACGACUGCUAAUACCGCAUAAGCCCACGGUGCCGCAUGGCACAGAGGGAAAAGGAGCAAUCCGCUUUGAGAUGGCCUCGCGUCCGAUUAGCUAGUUGGUGAGGUAACGGCCCACCAAGGCAACGAUCGGUAGCCGGACUGAGAGGUUGAACGGCCACAUUGGGACUGAGACACGGCCCAGACUCCUACGGGAGGCAGCAGUGGGGAAUAUUGCACAAUGGGGGAAACCCUGAUGCAGCGACGCCGCGUGGAGGAAGAAGGUCUUUGGAUUGUAAACUCCUGUUGUUGGGGAAGAUAAUGACGGUACCCAACAAGGAAGUGACGGCUAACUACGUGCCAGCAGCCGCGGUAAAACGUAGGUCACAAGCGUUGUCCGGAAUUACUGGGUGUAAAGGGAGCGCAGGCGGGAAGACAAGUUGGAAGUGAAAUCUAUGGGCUCAACCCAUAAACUGCUUUCAAAACUGUUUUUCUUGAGUAGUGCAGAGGUAGGCGGAAUUCCCGGUGUAGCGGUGGAAUGCGUAGAUAUCGGGAGGAACACCAGUGGCGAAGGCGGCCUACUGGGCACCAACUGACGCUGAGGCUCGAAAGUGUGGGUAGCAAACAGGAUUAGAUACCCUGGUAGUCCACACCGUAAACGAUGAUUACUAGGUGUGGGAGGGAUGACCCCCUUCAGUCCCCGCAGUUAACACAAAAAGUAAUCCACCCUGGGGAGUACGACCGCAAGGUUGAAAUUCAAAGGAAUUGACGGGGGCCCGCACAAGCAGUGGAGUAUGUGGUUUAAUUCGAGGCAACGCGAAGAACCUUACCAAGUCUUGACAUCCCUUGACAGGCAUAGAAAUAUGUUUUCUCUUCGGAGCAAGGAGACAGGUGGUGCAUGGUUGUCGUCAGCUCGUGUCGUGAGAUGUUGGGUUAAGUCCCGCAACGAGCGCAACCCUUAUGGUCAGUUACUACGCAAGAGGACUCUGGCCAGACUGCCGUUGACAAAACGGAGGAAGGUGGGGAUGACGUCAAAUCAUCAUGCCCUUUAUGACUUGGGCUACACACGUACUACAAUGGCGUUAAACAAAGAGAAGCAAGACCGCGAGGUGGAGCAAAACUCAGAAACAACGUCCCAGUUCGGACUGCAGGUUGCAACUCGCCUGCACGAAGUCGGAAUUGCUAGUAAUCGUGGAUCAGCAUGCCACGGUGAAUACGUUCCCGGGCCUUG
rnacentral:rRNA from 1 species